ACGCCAGAAAACUACGAGCGCAAGCUUAAAACUCAAAGGAUUUGACGGUGCCCUAUCUACCUAGAGGAGCCUGUUCUGUAAUUGAUAAUCCCCGAUAUACCUCACCCUUUUUAGUUAAUCAGUCUGUAUACUUCCGUCGUAAGCCUAUCAUAUGAAUGCUUUAAUAGGCUAAAUAAUUUAAACAUUAAAACGUCAGGUCAAAGUGCAGCCAACAAAAGGGAAGAGAUGGGCUACAAUUUUUAAUUUAAAACAUACGAAAUAGCACUUGAAAAUUGCUAUGAAGGUGGAUUUAGAAGUAAAGU
rnacentral:rRNA from 1 species